rnacentral:sRNA from 1 species
AAAUAGCCCGGAUUGAAAUGAAAAGCCUUUUGCUAAAAAAAAUCUAUUUUUUUGCAGAAACAGAGCGACCAACGGAAGCUCCUGUAGCUGCGUUAAAAAUAUUUUUUUUGAGCAAAAGCUUGAAAUGGAAAGCUGGAUUAGCU